AACGAACGCUGGCGGCAUGCCUAACACAUGCAAGUCGAACGAGACCUUCGGGUCUAGUGGCGCACGGGUGCGUAACGCGUGGGAACCUGCCCUUAGGUUCGGAAUAACUCCCCGAAAGGGGUGCUAAUACCGGAUAAUGUCUUCGGACCAAAGAUUUAUCGCCUUUGGAUGGGCCCGCGUUGGAUUAGCUAGUUGGUAGGGUAAAAGCCUACCAAGGCGACGAUCCAUAGCUGGUCUGAGGGGAUAAUCAGCCACACUGGGACUGAGACACGGCCCAGACUCCUACGGGAGGCAGCAGUGGGGAAUAUUGGACAAUGGGCGAAAGCCUGAUCCAGCAAUGCCGCGUGAGUGAUGAAGGCCUUAGGGUUGUAAAGCUCUUUUACCCGGGAUGAUAAUGACAGUACCGGGAGAAUAAGCUCCGGCUAACUCCGUG
rnacentral:rRNA from 1 species